rnacentral:rRNA from 1 species
UACGGAGGGUGCAAGCGUUUGUUCGGAAUCAUUGGGCGUAAAGCGCGUGUAGGCGGCUUGGCAAGUCAGUUGUGAAAGCCCGGGGCCCCAACCCCGGAACUGCAUCUGAAACUGCCUGGCUAGAGUCCCGGAGAGGAAGGCAGAAUUCCCGGUGUAGGGGUGAAAUCCGUAGAUAUCGGGAGGAAUACCAGCGGCGAAGGCGGCCUUCUGGACGGUGACUGACGCUGAGACGCGAAAGCGUGGGGAGCAAACAGG